rnacentral:lncRNA from 1 species
AGUUAUGGCACUGCAGGGUGGGAACCAGAAUGGAGGAAGGGGGUGGAGUUAAAGCACUCUAGGGUACCUUGCUCUAAAGAUCUUGUUUGCAACCAGAGUGAGGGAAAAGAGAGGAGAGGAGAAGAAAAAGGAAAGGAAAAGUGCCAAUACCAGCUCCUCAGGCAUCCCUGCCCUGGAACAGUGCUUUAAGACUAUGAUCCACUCACAAUUGGAUAUUUCUCCAUAA